rnacentral:tRNA from 1 species
GUGUUUAUAGUUUAAGUAUAAGAAUUCUUCUCUUGCACAGAAGAGGACUUGGAGUUUAACCCAAGUAAAUACG